UACGUAGGGGGCUAGCGUUGUCCGGAUUUAUUGGGCGUAAAGAGCGUGUAGGCGGCCAGGUAGGUCUGCUGUGAAAACUCGAGGCUCAACCUCGAGAUGUCGGCGGAAACCAUCUGGCUAGAGUCCGGAAGAGGAAAGUGGAAUUCCUGGUGUAGCGGUGAAAUGCGCAGAUAUCAGGAAGAACACCCGUGGCGAAAGCGGCUCUCUGGAACGGUACUGACGCUGAGACGCGAAAGCGUGGGGAGCGAACAGG
rnacentral:rRNA from 1 species